rnacentral:rRNA from 1 species
GAAUGGAAAGUAGCGGACGGGUGAGUAACGCGUGAGAAACCUGCCUCACACAAGGGGAUAGCCAUUGGAAACGGUGAUUAAUACCCUAUGACAUGGACGCUUCGCAUGGAGCAGCCAUUAAAGUGUUAGCGGUGUGAGAUGGUCUCGCGUCUGAUUAGCUAGUUGGUGAGAUAACAGCUCACCAAGGCGACGAUCAGUAGCCGGCUUGAGAGAGUGAACGGCCACACUGGAACUGAGACACGGUCCAGACUCCUACGGGAGGCAGCAGUGGGGAAUAUUGCACAAUGGAGGAAACUCUGAUGCAGCGACGCCGCGUGAGCGAAGAAGGCCUUCGGGUUGUAAAGCUCUGUCCUUGGUGAAGAUAAUGACGGUAGCCAAGGAGGAAGCCCCGGCUAACUACGUGCCAGCAGCCGCGGUAAUACGUAGGGGGCGAGCGUUGUCCGGAAUUAUUGGGCGUAAAGGGCGCGCAGGCGGCGUCGUAAGUCGGUCUUAAAAGUGCGGGGCUUAACCCCGUGAGGGGACCGAAACUGCGAUGCUAGAGUAUCGGAGAGGAAAGCGGAAUUCCUAGUGUAGCGGUGAAAUGCGUAGAUAUUAGGAGGAACACCAGUGGCGAAAGCGGCUUUCUGGACGACAACUGACGCUGAGGCGCGAAAGCCAGGGGAGCAAACGGGAUUAGAUACCCCGGUAGUCCUGGCCGUAAACGAUGGAUACUAGGUGUAGGAGGUAUCGACCCCUUCUGUGCCGGAGUUAACGCAAUA